GAUGAACGCUAGCGGCGUGCCUAACACAUGCAAGUCGAACGUGAGGGCGACUUCGGUUGCCUGAAAGUGGCGGACGGGUGAGUAAAUCGUAGGUAACCUGCCUCGGAGUGGGGGAUAACCAUUAGAAAUGAUGGCUAAUACCGCAUGGGUUGGUACAGCAGGGAUGUUGUGCCAAUAAAGCUCAGGCGCUUUGAGAGGGGCCUGCGUCCGAUUAGCUAGUUGGUGGGGUAACAGCCUACCAAGGCCAUGAUCGGUAGCUGGUCUGAGAGGACGAUCAGCCACACGGGAACUGAGACACGGUCCCGACUCCUACGGGGGGCAGCAGUGAGGAAUAUUCGGCAAUGGGGGCAACCCUGACCGAGCAACGCCGCGUGGAGGAUGACGGUUUUUGGAUUGUAAACUCCUUUUCUGUGGGAAGAGCAAGGACGGUACCACAGGAAUAAGUCACGGCUAACUACGUGCCAGCAGCCGCGGUAAUAC
rnacentral:rRNA from 1 species